rnacentral:misc_RNA from 1 species
AACUUUCAGCAACGGAUCUCUUGGCUCUCGCAUCGCUGAAGAACGCAGCGAAAUGCGAUACGUAAUGUGAAUUGCAGAAUUCAGUGAAUCAUCGAAUCUUUGAACGCACCUUGCGCCCCUUGGAAUUCCGAGGGGCACACCCGUUUGAGUGUCGUGAACAUCCUUCAACCUUUCUUGGUUUCUUAACCUGGGAAGGCUUGGACUUUGGGGGUCUUUCAUUGCUGGCCUCUUUGAAGCCAGCUCCUCCUAAAUGGAUUAGUGUGGUCUGCUUUGCCGAUCCUUGACGUGAUAAGAUGUUUCUACGUCUUGGGUUUCGCACUGUCGCUUUAGACCCCGCUUCUAACCGUCUUGCAUUCAAGACAGAGUUUUAAACCUUGACCUCAAAUCGGGUGAGACUACCCGCUGAACUUAAGCAUAUCAAUAAGCGGAGGCU